CAGUAGCCGCGGUAAUACGUAGGGUGCGAGCGUUAAUCGGAAUUACUGGGCGUAAAGCGUGCGCAGGCGGUUAUGCAAGACAGAUGUGAAAUCCCCGGGCUUAACCUGGGAACUGCAUUUGUGACUGCAUGGCUAGAGUGCGGCAGAGGGGGAUGGAAUUCCGCGUGUAGCAGUGAAAUGCGUAGAUAUGCGGAGGAACACCGAUGGCGAAGGCAAUCCCCUGGGCCUGCACUGACGCUCAUGCACGAAAGCGUGGGGAGCAAACAGGAUUAGAUACCCGAGUAGUCCCUGUCUCUUAUAC
rnacentral:rRNA from 1 species